UUCGAUACAUGGCUGCCACCGCGAUUGGAGUUGAUGAAUUGUUGACAAUGUACUGAAGAUUUAUUUUGAGUAUUAAAGUAUUCUAACUGGAAGAUUUAUAUACAUUAACUGGAGCGUCAUUUUUUCAAUAAAAUGAGUGACGGGCGGAAUCGAUUGAGCGGUUCUGAAUAUCGCAAGCAAGCUGCGAAGAGAAAAAUCAAAGAUGACGAGGUUAUGGCAAAAACAAAAAAACUCUCUUCUUAUUUUGUGCUUCAAGGAAAUCAAAGUGACACGGGUAAUCCAUCAGUUACCGAAAAAAGCGAAAUUUCUAGAGAAACAAUAGACUUCGCAAAAUCUACGAAACAAAUAUAGUCAAACAUAUCCGACAACUUCAAUUUCACAUUCAGUGACGACCCUGCGGAAUGGCUCAUAAAUGACGCAUUACGUGAUUAUAUCGCUAAACAUAAUUAUAAAAGAAAUGACCAUCUUGAUUUUUCGCAGCCAAAAUUCAAGCCGGUAUUUGAAUUCAUCUACGUUCGAAAGAAGACUUUUAAAUGGUGAAAAAACUCCCCGUGAUUGGUUAGUAUAUUCUCUGAGCAAAGGAUCGAUAUGUUGUGCUCCAUGCCUUCUUUUUGGCGGCGAUUCUACUUUUUCUAAAAAAGAUGGCUAUAGUGAUUGGAAAAAUGCGGCAAUAAGAAUAAAUCAGCAUGAAAAUUCUGAAAAGCAUCAAAGUUGCUUGAAACUUCUAAAAGAUAGAGCCAGUGCUUUUGGUCGAAUCGACAAAACUUUGCUCGCUGAAUAUGACAAAGAAGUAGUUUACUGGAAAAAUGUUUUAAAACGAGUCGUCGCUGUCAUUAAGAGUUUAGCUUCACGUGGACUGCCUUUUAGAAGGCAUGAUGAAAAGUUGGUUCUCUUCACAACGGAAACUAUUUGAUGCUUUUUGAAUUGAUAUCUGAAUUUGAUCCAUUUUUAGCUGAGCAUAUUUCGAAAUUCGGAAAUAAAGGUAUCGGUAGUACCAGUUAUCUGUCAAAAACGA